rnacentral:sRNA from 1 species
GUCGGUGCAAACCGGAACCUCCAAAGUCAGUGAAGUGUGUACGUAUGUAUGUGUAAGCGUUAUCGAGGGGUGCCGACGUCGGGGGAAACCCUCCUGUCAGAACGGGAUAGAGCGAAAGACAAAGACCGGAAAACAACUAAAGCGCCCUUGUGGCGCUUUAGUUUU